UAUGUGAUCGUCUCUCGCAUAUCAAUAAGCGGAGGAAAAGAAACUAACAAGGAUUCCCCUAGUAACGGCGAGUGAAGCGGGAAGAGCUCAAAUUUGAAAUCUUAAAGGGUUUCCCUUUACGAAUUGUAGUUUAAAGAAGUGUUUUCUGUUGAGGUUUUGGUAAAAGUUCUUUGGAAUAGGACAUCAUAGAGGGUGAGAAUCCCGUAUUUGACCUUUACUUUCAACUUUGUGAUACACUUUCAAAGAGUCGGAUUGUUUGGGAAUGCAGUCCAAAAUGGGUGGUAAAUUCAUCUAAAGCUAAAUAUUGGCGAGAGACCGAUAGCGAACAAGUACCGUGAGGGAAAGAUGAAAAGAACUUUGAAAAGAGAGUUAAACAGUACGUGAAAUUGUCAAAAGGGAAGCGUUUGACACCAGUGUUGUUUUUCUGAAAAUCAAUUAAAGAACUGUUUAUGCUAAGUUGUUUAGACUUUAUCAGCUAACUGUUUAGUUUUGAGCUUUUCUUUAAUGCACUUUUCAGUUAACAAGUCAACAUCAAUUUCUUUUGCUGUAAAGAAGCUUGAGGAAGGUGGCUUGAGAUUCGUCUUAAGUGUUUAUAGCCUCUUGCCUAUGCAGUCGGAGAGAUUGAGGUCUGCAGCGUAGAUCCUUCGGGGCUAAAUGCAUUUGUGCUAAGUUAUAGCAUUUUAUAGACAACUUGUUGACUAUGAUUUGUCUUGUAGCUUACUCGCUUAUGUUAUUUUACCUACGCUUAGGAUGUUGAUCUACAGAGCGAGAGU
rnacentral:rRNA from 1 species